GACGAACGCUGGCGGCGUGCCUAAUACAUGCAAGUCGAGCGGACCAAUAGAAGCUUGCUUCUAUUGGUUAGCGGCGGACGGGUGAGUAACACGUGGGCAACCUGCCUGUAAGACUGGGAUAACUUCGGGAAACCGGAGCUAAUACCGGAUAAUUCAUCCCCUCGCAUGAGGGGGUGCUGAAAGUCGGUUCACGCUGACACUUACAGAUGGGCCUGCGGCGCAUUAGCUAGUUGGUGAGGUAAUGGCUCACCAAGGCGACGAUGCGUAGCCGACCUGAGAGGGUGAUCGGCCACACUGGGACUGAGACACGGCCCAGACUCCUGCGGGAGGCAGCAGUAGGGAAUCUUCCACAAUGGACGAAAGUCUGAUGGAGCAACGCCGCGUGAGCGAUGAAGGCCUUCGGGUCGUAAAGCUCUGUUGUUAGGGAAGAACAAGUACCGGAGUAACUGCCGGUACCUUGACGGUACCUAACCAGAAAGCCACGGCUAACUACGUGCCAGCCGCCGCAGUAA
rnacentral:rRNA from 1 species